CCAUAUCAAUAAGCGGAGGAAAAGAAACCAACAGGGAUUGCCCUAGUAACGGCGAGUGAAGCGGCAACAGCUCAAAUUUGAAAUCUGGCUUCGGCCCGAGUUGUAAUUUGUAGAGGAAGAUUUAGGCGCGGCACCUUCUGAGUCCCCUGGAACGGGGCGCCAUAGAGGGUGAGAGCCCCGUAUAGUUGGAUGCCUAGCCUGUGUAAAUCUCCUUCGACGAGUCGAGUAGUUUGGGAAUGCUGCUCAAAAUGGGAGGUAAAUUUCUUCUAAAGCUAAAUAUUGGCCAGAGACCGAUAGCGCACAAGUAGAGUGAUCGAAAGAUGAAAAGCACUUUGAAAAGAGGGUUAAAUAGCACGUGAAAUUGUUGAAAGGGAAGCGCUUGUGACCAGACUUGCGCCGGGCGGAUCAUCCGGUGUUCUCACCGGUGCACUCCGCCCGGCUCAGGCCAGCAUCGGUUCUCGUGGGGGGAUAAAGGCCCUGGGAACGUAGCUCCUCCGGGAGUGUUAUAGCCCAGGGUGUAAUGCCCUCGCGGGGACCGAGGUUCGCGCAUCUGCAAGGAUGCUGGCGUAAUGGUCAUCAGCGACCCGUCUUGAAACACGGACCAAGGAGUCAAGGUUUUGCGCGAGUGUUUGGGUGUAAAACCCGCACGCGUAAUGAAAGUGAACGUAGGUGAGAGCUUCGGCGCAUCAUCGACCGAUCCUGAUGUAUUCGGAUGGAUUUGAGUAGGAGCGUUAAGCCUUGGACCCGAAAGAUGGUGAACUAUGCUUGGAUAGGGUGAAGCCAGAGGAAACUCUGGUGGAGGCUCGCAGCGGUUCUGACGUGCAAAUCGAUCGUCAAAUCUGAGCAUGGGGGCGAAAGACUAAUCGAACCAUCUAGUAGCUGGUUACCGCCGAA
rnacentral:rRNA from 1 species